GCUGGGCAUGGUGGUGCAUGCCUGUAGUCCCAGCUACUCGGGAGGCUGAGGCAGGAGGAUUGCUUGAGCCUAGGAGUUUAAGGUUGCUGUGAGCUAGGCUGACACCACUGCACUUAGCCUGGGCAAUAGAGUGAGACUCUGUCUCAAAAAAAAAAAAAUUAGCAUGGUUAGGUCUGUGGUAUCAGAUGCAAAAAGUAAUGCUGGGUGCAGUGAUGCACCCCUGUAGUCGCAGCUACUCAAGAGGCUGAGGCAGGAGGGUCACUUGAGCCCAGGAGUUCAAGGCUGCAGGAUGCUACAAUCAUACCUGUGAGUAGCCACUGCACUCCAGCCAGGGCAACAUAGUGAGACCCUGUCUCU
rnacentral:sRNA from 1 species